UCCCUGUGGAUGAUCUUCUCUUAGGCUCUCUGGCUGGAUGGCUGUGGUUGGGACACUGGUGAGAGAGAAAGUCUAAGUAAAUUAUUAACCUCACAGGGGCCACCCUUGGACCCUUGGGGAUCUGCAGCUGGAAGACCUCAGCUGCCUGCCGAGGGAUCCUUGGUCUUCUGAUCUGUGAAAUGGGGCUGAUGAUCGUGCCGUUGCCACGCGGUUGUGAAGUAGACUAACUCUGGGCCUUGGUAGUAUAUCCCUGUCCUCAAGAAACUUCCAGAGGCAGACGCUGCUGGGUAGUAGACGCCAUGAUGGGGGCCAGCACACAGAGGAGGGUGAGGACGAGGACAAGGACGAGCUCAUGUAUUUUCAUGCUGUGGCCUCGACACUCAGCCCCAUAGUCCCAGCUCACAGACGCUGGGACGCUGCUCUGGGGUGGGCCGACCCCGCCUGCAAGCAGACACUCCACUAUUGUUCGAAAUGGAAUUGGUCCCAGGAAGCUUGGAGCCUGUGCAAACCGCUAUGAAUUUUGCAAAACAGCUCUGAGGCGGUAAAGCAUGUCAGAAGAAUCAAAUGCGGAAAUCCCUAUUUAGAAGCUCCGCUCUGGACACGCAUGAUGUGCCUGGAGAGAGGAUCGGGCAGGGGCGCCGGGCCCGGAUGUCCCUCUCCUGUGGCCUCGGUGGGGGGUGCCACGCAGAGGGGAGACAGCCCCCAGCCCCUCGGGCCCCAGCUUCUGUCCAGUUCGCCUGGCCUCGAAUUGAGCCCCUCACAAGGCACCCAUCCCCCCAAUCCUUUCCCAGGGUACCUAUCCUAUUUUUUGUCUUUUGAAAGCAGCUUUAUCAUUUUGUAAAAAAGGAUACAUAUGCUCAUUGCAAAAAAUUCAGACAAGAUGGAAAAGUUCAAAGAAAAAUGUAAAAACCACCUCAGAUUUCACCACCCAGAGAUAACCGCGUAACAUUUGGGUGAACGUCCUUCCAGACUUCUCCCUGUGCAUAAAUAUACACAAAUAGAUUCCAUGUAUGCAGUUCCCCCCUGAGUGAGGUCAGACGACACAGGCUGUUCUGUCACCUGUUUUUUUUCUCCCCACUCAGCAAUAUGUCACGGACAUCCUUCAUGUCCACAGAUACGGAGCCCCCUCAUCAUUUGCAUGCCUGCAUUACGGCUAUGAGCACUCCUCGCUUGACCUACCCAGUCUCCAGCUCACGGCAAUAUAUAUUUUUCCAAUUGUUUUGUUCUUAUAAACAUCCCUGCAAUGAACAUCUGUGUGCACAGAUCUUUGUGCCUUUCAUUCGCUCAUUCAUUCAUUCAUUCACUCAUGCCACAGAUGUUUAUCGAGUGUAUUCUACACACCAGCCCAGUGCCAGGCUGGGGAUAGAAAUGGUGGAUAAAGCGACAUGGUCAGUCCUUGCUUUUACAGAGUUUCUGAUGCAAUGGGGAGACAGGACGCCCAGCCCCUGACAGCCGGGGAAGACAGCGCUUUUCUGCAAUGAGCUUAUGUCUUAAGCACUUACACAAAUAACUAUUCAAUGAGCAGGUGAUAUGCAGUACAAAGAAGUACACAGCCUACGAAGGAAAAGUACAAGCUGUGAGAGAGUCAGAUGAGAGAAUGUUAGCUAGACUUGGGAAUCAGGGAGGGCUUCUCUGAGGAGGUGACAUUCAGGUUGGGAAAGAUGAAUAGGCAAGAGACAGG